UGGUUGGAAGAAACGGACUGUUCUCUGGCUAUAAAAGCCAGAGAACGAAAGGUCACAAGUGGACUGAAAGGGGAGGAAUCACAGGGGGGAGGAACCACAGAGAACCGGGAGAGACUAGAAAAAAAAAAAACAGACUUUCGCUCCUCUGUUUCUUCUCAAAGAAACAGAGGAGGCUAAAGAAAAAGGCCACGAACAGGAGGAAGAAAAACUGGGAAAAAAGGGCAGACAAGGAAAAGAAAAACACAGGAAAACAGAGAGAACGAGAGCAAGAAAACAGAGAACAGAAAAAAAAACACAGAGACGAACAACAACAAGAAAAACGCAGGGGAAGAACCCUCAUCUCCUGGGUGCAGACCUCCAUCACCAUCGACCAUCGUCAGCGUCUUCGUCUUCGUCUUAUUUUUCCAAUAAUAUCACAAGAAACAGCUUAGGAAAGGGAAACUAGGGAAGACGCAUGCAGAAAAACAGAAACAGGGGAGCAAGCUUCCAUUCAACCGACAGCACCUAACAUCUUCAUCACCAUUGUUGAUGUCCUGAGCAGAGGAAGCACAUAAGGAAGACCAAGGAAAGCAGUAGACAAGAGUCACCACCAGCUUCACAACCGUUUUCGUCGCCUCCAGAAGCAGCAACUCCAGAGCUCCAUCUUCAGCAGCCACUGCACCAGAAACAGGGCACUCCAGGAAAGAAAUACAGGGACGAACGGGGGAAGAAAAGGAGGAAGAGAAGGAAGAAGAGAGGAAGAACAAGAGGAGGCAGCGUCGUUCGUCCAGCACAGUGUGCCAUCGUCUCCGGCUACGCCUUGCUGCACCAGGCAUUUUUGGAUGAAAGAUGCAAAAAGGAGUAAAUUGGAGGUAAUUGGCAGAUUUGACAUUCAGUCGAUGUUUUGUGCAGAGCGUGAGUUCUAGAGAUCAAAAUGAAGUGAUUCCAGUGGCACUAAAAAGAUAACAUCCAUACCUUUCUGGAAAUGUAAUGCAAGAAAAAUAAAAGGAGAAAGAUCAUGGAAAUCACAUCCUGCAAAGUCAAAUCUCGCAUUCUGCCAGUGUUGACCUUUGGCCAUUCAAAAUUUAAUAUCUGGAGCUACAGAAGUCCGAUUGAUGCAAACUAAAUUUUCUUGGAUUACUAAUUCAAAGACCUAUCCACGCUCACAAUUUCAGCCAAAAAUGAUGUCAUAUGAGGGAGAUAUGAUUUUCCAAAGAUGACAACUAAAUUCUGCCAGCAAACAGGUUUCGUGAAGAAACGAGUCCAAAUUACGUUUCGAAGCAUCUAAACCGACAUCCAAGUUUUUAUAUCAGCAAUUUAGCUCCUCUAAGUCAGAGCUUGAAGAUUUCAUGCAAGGCUAUUUCUCCUUUUAGGAAAAAUAGUUAUUGAAGUACUUAAAUGUAAACUGCCAACUCAAGGGAGGACUAUUUUGUAAAAUAGAGACUAGGGUUUCUUAGCAUAUAAAAAGAAAGAGAGAAGGAGGCAGCAGCCAGCAGAGAAGAGGGAGAGCAGAAGGAGGCAGCAGCCAGCAGAGAAGAGGGAGAGCAGAAGGAGGCAGCAGCCAGCAGAGAAUAAACACAAAUUCUCUCCUCUACAAACCCAAAAAAUCAUGUUCUUUUCAUUCUUUAGAAGUAGUUGUUCAAUAGUUAUGCAAGGCUAAGCUCUUUUCUUGGUUGCAAGGACACAACAAACCUUCGGAUUUCAAGAACCGUGAGAUUUAUUCUUCCUUCUAUUUUCAGUUUAUGUUAUGAAUGAGUAUGAUUGUUUUCC